UACGGAGGGUGAAAGCGUUAUCCGGAUUCACUGGGUUUAAAGGGUGCGUAGGCGGACAGGUAAGUCAGUGGUGAAAUCUCUGGGCUUAACUCAGAAACUGCCGUUGAUACUAUUUGUCUUGAAUGUCAUGGAGGUAAGCGGAAUAUGUCAUGUAGCGGUGAAAUGCUUAGAUAUGACAUAGAACACCGAUAGCGAAGGCAGCUUACUACAUGAAGAUUGACGCUGAGGCACGAAAGCGUGGGGAGCAAACAGG
rnacentral:rRNA from 1 species